rnacentral:misc_RNA from 1 species
GAUGAAGGACGUAGCAAAAUGCGAUAAGUAAUGUGAAUUGCAGAAUUCAGUGAAUCAUCGAAUCUUUGAACGCACAUUGCGCCCGCCAGUAUUCUGGCGGGCAUGCCUGUUCGAGCGUCAUUUCAACCCUCAAGCACAGCUUGGUGUUGGGACUCGCGUUAAUUCGCGUUCCUCAAAUUGAUUGGCGGUCACGUCGAGCUUCCAUAGCGUAGUAGUAAAACCCUCGUUACUGGUAAUCGUCGCGGCCACGCCGUUAAACCCCAACUUCUGAAUGUUGACCUCGGAUCAGGUAGGAAUACCCGCUGAACUUAAGCAUAUCAAUAAGCGGAGGA